AGUGAACGCUGGCGGUAGGCCUAACACAUGCAAGUCGAACGGCAGCACAGUAAGAGCUUGCUCUUACGGGUGGCGAGUGGCGGACGGGUGAGGAAUACAUCGGAAUCUACUUUUUCGUGGGGGAUAACGUAGGGAAACUUACGCUAAUACCGCAUACGACCUACGGGUGAAAGCAGGGGAUCUUCGGACCUUGCGCGAUUGAAUGAGCCGAUGUCGGAUUAGCUAGUUGGCGGGGUAAAGGCCCACCAAGGCGGUGAUCCGUAGCUGGUCUGAGAGGAUGAUCAGCCACACUGGAACUGAGACACGGUCCAGACUCCUACGGGAGGCAGCAGUGGGGAAUAUUGGACAAUGGGCGCAAGCCUGAUCCAGCCAUACCGCGUGGGUGAAGAAGGCCUUCGGGUUGUAAAGCCCUUUUGUUGGGAAAGAAAAGCAGCAGGUUAAUACCCCGCUGUUCUGACGGUACCCAAAGAAUAAGCACCGGCUAACUUCGUG
rnacentral:rRNA from 1 species